rnacentral:piRNA from 1 species
UGACACAUAUGCAGAGCUUCUUGGUACACC